UACGUAGGGUGCAGGCGUUAAUCGGAAUUACUGGGCGUAAAGCGUGCGCAGGCGGUUAUGUAAGACAGAUGUGAAAUGCCCGGGCUUAACCUGGGAACUGCAUUUGUGACUGCAUGGCUAGAGUGUGUCAGAGGGGGGGUAGAAUUCCACGUGUAGCAGUGAAAUGCGUAGAUAUGUGGAGGAACACCGAUGGCGAAGGCAGCCCCCUGGGAUAACACUGACGCUCAUGCACGAAAGCGUGGGGGAGCAAACAGG
rnacentral:rRNA from 1 species